UACAGAGGGUGCGAGCGUUAAUCGGAAUUACUGGGCGUAAAGCGCACGUAGGCGGAUACUUAAGUCAGGGGUGAAAUCCCGGGGCUCAACCCCGGAACUGCCUUUGAUACUGGGUAUCUCGAGUUCGAGAGAGGUGAGUGGAAUUCCGAGUGUAGAGGUGAAAUUCGUAGAUAUUCGGAGGAACACCAGUGGCGAAGGCGGCUCACUGGCUCGAUACUGACGCUGAGGUGCGAAAGCGUGGGGAGCAAACAGG
rnacentral:rRNA from 1 species